AUGCUGAAAUGGAGGCUAAGAAAGAAGCUUAUGAGAAGUCGCACCCUAAUACACACCCUAAUAAGAAUGGUCAUGACGAAGGAACAAAAUGGUGGGGACAAAGUUGAUAAUAGCGACAAUGCCAAGAAGGAAGGGGUGGAAUCGGGGAAAGCUUGUGAAGAGAAGGCCCCUGAGAACACUGAUGCCAAGGAAGAGAAGUCAGAUGAUGCUGAGGAGUUGAAAGUGUCAGAUGCACAAGGGAGCGGGCUGCUCUCGGUGCUCGACCGGGCGCUCACCGACGAGGAGGAGUACCGCCGCGCGCGCCCAGGUGCAGCGCAAGGACGUGGAGGCAGAGGGGUACGCCGUCGAGGGUAUCUCGGUGAGCGGGCACGAGACCUGCAUCACCGUGCCGUCCCUCAACGUCGCAUUUGA
rnacentral:rRNA from 1 species